GAAUAUUGGUCAAUGGACGCAAGUCUGAACCAGCCAUGCCGCGUGAAGGAUGAAGGCGUUCUGCGUUGUAAACUUCUUUUAUCUGGGAAGAAACCUACGAUUUCUAUUGUAGCCGACGGUACCAGAAGAAUAAGCACCGGCUAACUCCGUGCCAGCAGCCGCGGUAAUACGGAGGGUGCAAGCGUUAUCCGGAUUCACUGGGUUUAAAGGGUGUGUAGGCGGAUAUUUAAGUCAGUGGUGAAAUCUCCGGGCUCAACCCGGAAACUGCCAUUGAUACUAUUUAUCUUGAAUUUUGUUGAGGUAGGCGGAAUACAUCAUGUAGCGGUGAAAUGCUUAGAGAUGAUGUAGAACACCGAUUGCGAAGGCAGCUUACUAAACAGAUAUUGACGCUGAGGCACGAAAGCGUGGGGAUCAAACAGG
rnacentral:rRNA from 1 species